ensembl:lncRNA
GUCUAGUUGAAGCUGAGCUGGUUAAGACUGGAUAGGCCCACAACCCUCCAACUGGGCAUGCGUGAGUGUCUGCUCUGUGACCUUUCGUCGGCCAAGGGCUGAAAACUCCACCCUCAGUUUGUGUUAAGUGCCUCCAUUUUAGAACGUGCAGAGCCCUGGAGCUCAGUUACACCUGAGCAAAACCAGGAUUACCGCACCUUUUCCCAUCCUUUCCCCACGCUCCCCAUGUUUAUUUGUUAUCCCAUAAAUACCCCAACUCCCCAGCAGUUCACUUUUCUGGGAGGCAUACUUGAGAUGUACUCCUCAGUCUUCUCGCUCGGCUGCCUUAAGAACAAGCUCUCUCUGCUGCACACGUUGGGAGUCUCAGCGAUUUUGUUUGCUAAGUGCUAGACAAAAGGAGGGCACCCUGUCACCUCGCCCUUCCACACCCACCUCCACCAUAGAGCAACUGGGUUCUGGUCAAAAGGCUACUUGGGUGUCUACCUACAGAUCCUAAACCACAAGAAGCUGAAAGUAAAGGGGUUACUGGGGGCUACCUGAAGAUGCUUAUAGGAAUAGAGGGACCCAGAAAAUAUGUCAAUUUCUUCUGUGGGAUGAACUGAAGACUCAGAUGAGUCGAAGAGUUUUAAGUGGAGGAAAAAAAGGAGCUGGGGGAGGGGGAAAGACUCACUUUGCUUGUCUGCUUUAUUUUCUUAUCUCCAUUUCAGUAAGGUUUUCUUGAGGUUUUAUCUUUUUCUUUCCUUUGGAACACAUUCCUUUUUUUUUUUCCUUUUACCUGAGUGUGGGGUUUCUGCAUAAUAUAUGAAACAGCCAUCUCUCCUGAUCUUGAAACAUUGGUCUUGCAUAGGAGAUUGAACCUUCUUGUUCAAACCUGCCCUAGCUUUGGGUUGUUUCCCAAACCUUUGGGAUUGUCCAAGCAGCCUUGUUUGUUUUUAGUGGUUCCCAGUGGUGGAGAUUGUGUUGAAACCUAUCAGUGUCUUCCAGGGUGGCAGGGAACCUUAGUCAGCACCUAGAUUUCAGCUGGUAGGAACCCAGACCCUCAGUCAGCAGCUUUAAAGUGUGUCAGUACUUCACAGUGAAAUAUAUACAGUGCUGUGGGAAUGCAAGCACAAGCCCAGCUUGCCAAGAGAGCCAGGCGAUCUGGAGGUGUCUGCUGGACGACAGUGUAAAAACCAGGACAGCAGACGAAGGAAAUGGCAACCCACUCCAGUGUUCUUGCCUAGAGAAUCCUAGGGCCGGGGGAGCCUGGUGGGCUGCCAUCUAUGGGGUCGCACAGAGUCGGACAUGACUGAAGCGAUUUAGCAGCAGCAGCAGCAACUAUAAUG